rnacentral:rRNA from 1 species
UUAAGCGACUAAGCGUACACGGUGGAUGCCCUGGCAGUCAGAGGCGAUGAAGGACGUGCUAAUCUGCGAUAAGCGUCGGUAAGGUGAUAUGAACCGUUAUAACCGGCGAUUUCCGAAUGGGGAAACCCAGUGUGUUUCGACACACUAUCAUUAACUGAAUCCAUAGGUUAAUGAGGCGAACCGGGGGAACUGAAACAUCUAAGUACCCCGAGGAAAAGAAAUCAACCGAGAUUCCCCCAGUAGCGGCGAGCGAACGGGGAGCAGCCCAGAGCCUGAAUCAGUAUGUGUGUUAGUGGAAGCGUCUGGAAAGGCGCGCGAUACAGGGUGACAGCCCCGUACACAAAAAUGCACAUGCUGUGAGCUCGAUGAGUAGGGCGGGACACGUGGUAUCCUGUCUGAAUAUGGGGGGACCAUCCUCCAAGGCUAAAUACUCCUGACUGACCGAUAGUGAACCAGUACCGUGAGGGAAAGGCGAAAAGAACCCCGGCGAGGGGAGUGAAAAAGAACCUGAAACCGUGUACGUACAAGCAGUGGGAGCACGCUUAGGCGUGUGACUGCGUACCUUUUGUAUAAUGGGUCAGCGACUUAUAUUCUGUAGCAAGGUUAACCGAAUAGGGGAGCCGAAGGGAAACCGAGUCUUAACUGGGCGUUAAGUUGCAGGGUAUAGACCCGAAACCCGGUGAUCUAGCCAUGGGCAGGUUGAAGGUUGGGUAACACUAACUGGAGGACCGAACCGACUAAUGUUGAAAAAUUAGCGGAUGACUUGUGGCUGGGGGUGAAAGGCCAAUCAAACCGGGAGAUAGCUGGUUCUCCCCGAAAGCUAUUUAGGUAGCGCCUCGUGAAUUCAUCUCCGGGGGUAGAGCACUGUUUCGGCAAGGGGGUCAUCCCGACUUACCAACCCGAUGCAAACUGCGAAUACCGGAGAAUGUUAUCACGGGAGACACACGGCGGGUGCUAACGUCCGUCGUGAAGAGGGAAACAACCCAGACCGCCAGCUAAGGUCCCAAAGUCAUGGUUAAGUGGGAAACGAUGUGGGAAGGCCCAGACAGCCAGGAUGUUGGCUUAGAAGCAGCCAUCAUUUAAAGAAAGCGUAAUAGCUCACUGGUCGAGUCGGCCUGCGCGGAAGAUGUAACGGGGCUAAACCAUGCACCGAAGCUGCGGCAGCGACACUAUGUGUUGUUGGGUAGGGGAGCGUUCUGUAAGCCUGUGAAGGUGUGCUGUGAGGCAUGCUGGAGGUAUCAGAAGUGCGAAUGCUGACAUAAGUAACGAUAAAGCGGGUGAAAAGCCCGCUCGCCGGAAGACCAAGGGUUCCUGUCCAACGUUAAUCGGGGCAGGGUGAGUCGACCCCUAAGGCGAGGCCGAAAGGCGUAGUCGAUGGGAAACAGGUUAAUAUUCCUGUACUUGGUGUUACUGCGAAGGGGGGACGGAGAAGGCUAUGUUGGCCGGGCGACGGUUGUCCCGGUUUAAGCGUGUAGGCUGGUUUUCCAGGCAAAUCCGGAAAAUCAAGGCUGAGGCGUGAUGACGAGGCACUACGGUGCUGAAGCAACAAAUGCCCUGCUUCCAGGAAAAGCCUCUAAGCAUCAGGUAACAUCAAAUCGUACCCCAAACCGACACAGGUGGUCAGGUAGAGAAUACCAAGGCGCUUGAGAGAACUCGGGUGAAGGAACUAGGCAAAAUGGUGCCGUAACUUCGGGAGAAGGCACGCUGAUAUGUAGGUGAAGUCCCUUGCGGAUGGAGCUGAAAUCAGUCGAAGAUACCAGCUGGCUGCAACUGUUUAUUAAAAACACAGCACUGUGCAAACACGAAAGUGGACGUAUACGGUGUGACGCCUGCCCGGUGCCGGAAGGUUAAUUGAUGGGGUCAGCGCAAGCGAAGCUCUUGAUCGAAGCCCCGGUAAACGGCGGCCGUAACUAUAACGGUCCUAAGGUAGCGAAAUUCCUUGUCGGGUAAGUUCCGACCUGCACGAAUGGCGUAAUGAUGGCCAGGCUGUCUCCACCCGAGACUCAGUGAAAUUGAACUCGCUGUGAAGAUGCAGUGUACCCGCGGCAAGACGGAAAGACCCCGUGAACCUUUACUAUAGCUUGACACUGAACAUUGAGCCUUGAUGUGUAGGAUAGGUGGGAGGCUUUGAAGUGUGGACGCCAGUCUGCAUGGAGCCGACCUUGAAAUACCACCCUUUAAUGUUUGAUGUUCUAACGUUGACCCGUAAUCCGGGUUGCGGACAGUGUCUGGUGGGUAGUUUGACUGGGGCGGUCUCCUCCUAAAGAGUAACGGAGGAGCACGAAGGUUGGCUAAUCCUGGUCGGACAUCAGGAGGUUAGUGCAAUGGCAUAAGCCAGCUUGACUGCGAGCGUGACGGCGCGAGCAGGUGCGAAAGCAGGUCAUAGUGAUCCGGUGGUUCUGAAUGGAAGGGCCAUCGCUCAACGGAUAAAAGGUACUCCGGGGAUAACAGGCUGAUACCGCCCAAGAGUUCAUAUCGACGGCGGUGUUUGGCACCUCGAUGUCGGCUCAUCACAUCCUGGGGCUGAAGUAGGUCCCAAGGGUAUGGCUGUUCGCCAUUUAAAGUGGUACGCGAGCUGGGUUUAGAACGUCGUGAGACAGUUCGGUCCCUAUCUGCCGUGGGCGCUGGAGAACUGAGGGGGGCUGCUCCUAGUACGAGAGGACCGGAGUGGACGCAUCACUGGUGUUCGGGUUGUCAUGCCAAUGGCACUGCCCGGUAGCUAAAUGCGGAAGAGAUAAGUGCUGAAAGCAUCUAAGCACGAAACUUGCCCCGAGAUGAGUUCUCCCUGACUCCUUGAGAGUCCUGAAGGAACGUUGAAGACGACGACGUUGAUAGGCCGGGUGUGUAAGCGCAGCGAUGCGUUGAGCUAACCGGUACUAAUGAACCGUGAGGCUUAACCUU